rnacentral:rRNA from 1 species
ACUCCUACGGGAGGCAGCAGUGGGGAAUAUUGCACAAUGGGGGAAACCCUGAUGCAGCCAUGCCGCGUGUGUGAAGAAGGCCUUGGGUUGUAAAGCACUUUCAGUAGGGAGGAAGGUAGUGUAGUUAACACCUGCAUUAUUUGUACGUUACCUACAGAAGAAGCACCGGCUAACUCCGUGCCAGCAGCCGCGGUAAGUACGGAGGGUGCGAGCGUUAAUCGGAAUUACUGGGCGUAAAGCGCAUGCAGGCGGCCUGUUAAGUCAGAUGUGAAAGCCCGGGGUCUUAACCUCGGAAUUGCAUUUGAAACUGGCAGGCUAGAGUCUUGUAGAGGGGUUAGAAUUUCAGGUGUAGCGGUGAAAUGCGUAGAGAUCUGAAGGAAUACCAGU